CCCCUCUUUGGGUCACACCUGGAGAGUUUCCAGUACUCUACCAGUCACGACUACAAGAGGGAGAGUCAAGCAGAGGCCUACCCAUUCAAUUCCUAGUUUGAGCAGUGGCCAGUGAAUGGAAGGCAAUCUGCUACAAAU